rnacentral:rRNA from 1 species
CCUACGGGUGGCAGCAGUGGGGAAUAUUGCACAAUGGGGGAAACCCUGAUGCAGCGACGCCGCGUGAGUGAAGAAGUAAUUCGUUCUGUAAAGCUCUAUCAGCAGGGAAGAAAAUGACGGUACCUGAGUAAGAAGCCCCGGCUAACUACGUGCCCGCAGCCGCGGUAAUACGUAGGGGGCACGCGUUAUCCGGAUUUACUGGGUGUAAAGGGAGCGUAGACGGCAGUGCAAGUCUGGAGUGAAAGGCGGGGGCGCAACCCCCGGACUGCUCUGGAAACUGUACGGCUGGAGUGCAGGAGAGGUAAGUGGAAUGCCUAGUGUAGCGGUGAAAUGCGUAGAUAUUAGGCGGAACACCAGUUGCGAAGGCGGCUUACGGGACUGUAACUGACGUUGAGGCUCGAAAGCGUGGGGAGCAAACAGGAUUAGAUACCCUGGUAGUC